GCAGGCGAGCAGAACCUCUGGAUGGAUUCUUCCUUGGAAGCUUGGUAAUUUGCAGCAGCUGGCCAACGCUCCUGAUUAUCUGUCUGUCAGCAUAGUCCAGCGUCAUUUCACUGUGGUGGCAGGGACUCAGCUCCGAAUUCUGUUUAGAGAAAGCGCCUGGAUCCUAGUCUAUCAGUAGCUUCAAGACAACCAGAAGUGCCUGCUCUUGUGCCCAGUGGGCCUCCAGGCAAGAUGUCCCUGCCCAUUGGGAUGUGCCACCGGACAUUCAGCUAUGAUGAUGCCCUAGAGGACCCUGUGCCCAUGACUCCUCCUCCAUCGGACAUGGGCAGCAUCCCCUGACAGCCAGUGAUUCCAGAGUACAAGUAUCAGCAUCUUGACAAGACAGAGGAAGGAAUGGCCAGUGUCUCUUCCCUUGCUGUGAUUCCAUCAAUAGCCACUGACAAUUCAGACAAGGCCCCUGUGAUGAAGGCUAAAGCUACCCAUGUCAUCAUGAAUUCCUGAUCACAAAACAGACUCAGGAGAGCAUCCAGCGUUUUGAGCAACAAGCAGGACUGAGAGAUGCUGGCUACACACUCCACAAGGGCCUCACCACUGAGGAGACCAAGUACCUCCAAUUGGCAAAAGCACUCCAUAAACUAAAGCCGCAAAGUGGAGAGACAACAAAAGAGAAGCAUCCUGCAUCAGCCCAGUCCACCCUGAACAGCACCCCCUACUCCUCGCCCAAGCAGAAGUCCAGAGGCUGGUUGCCCUCUGGCUCCUCCACAGCUUUACCAGGCCUGAAUCCUCACACCAUGGAUCCUGGGAGUGAGAAUGACAAGAACUCAGCAGAAAAGUGGAGCCCCUUUGGACCGAGGCCCCUGCAGAUGUCUGACUCUGGUUUUUCCAUCCAGGCUUACAAAGGUGCCCCGAAACCCUCUCCUAUGGAGCUAAUGCAUGCCCAAGCCACACCAGCAGGUGAAGAUCCAGCAACCUUCAAACCGCCUAAGAUGGAUAUCCCAGUGGUAGAAGUGAAGAAACCACCACCUCGAACCCAUAAUCUCAAACCCCGUGACCUGAAUGUGCUCACACCCACUGGCGUCUAGAAUGCUUUCUGUCCAAGGUCUGCAACUUUCCCUGGGCUCUGACAUAGGAGUGAUGUAGUUAACUGGAGGCUGGAGUGACGUUGUGCAGAUUGUCCUUGUGUGAGAGAAACCAUUUUGCACUGCUUUCAGGUUGGUGGAAAAUGUCAGUGGUGCUGAGGGGGGACCUCACUUUUUUUUU